rnacentral:piRNA from 1 species
UAAAGAAAUGUGACCCUGUGGUGAUAUAAU